rnacentral:rRNA from 1 species
UACGGGGGGGGCAAGCGUUGUUCGGAAUUACUGGGCGUAAAGGGCUCGUAGGCGGCCAACUAAGUCAGACGUGAAAUCCCUCGGCUUAACCGGGGAACUGCGUCUGAUACUGGAUGGCUUGAGAUUGGGAGAGGGAUGCGGAACUCCAGGUGUAGCGGUGAAAUGCGUAGAUAUCUGGAGGAACACCGGUGGCGAAGGCGGCAUCCUGGACCAACAAUGACGCUGAGUGAGCGAAAGCCAGGGGAGCAAACGGG